rnacentral:rRNA from 1 species
UACGGGGGGAGCAAGCGUUGUUCGGAUUUACUGGGCGUAAAGGGCGCGUAGGCGGUCAGCACAAGUCAGUUGUGAAAUCUCCGGGCUUAACUCGGAAAGGUCAACUGAUACUGUCACGCUAGAGUGCAGAAAGGGCAAUCGGAAUUCUUGGUGUAGCGGUGAAAUGCGUAGAUAUCAAGAGGAACACCAAUGGCGAAGGCAGCUCGCUGGGACGUGACUGACGCUGAGACGCGAAAGCGUGGGGAGCAAACAGG